rnacentral:lncRNA from 1 species
AUCAUCAGCAUCGACCUGCUUUCUACACCUGCUCCUUCUGUAUGAUCCCUGCCUGAGGGAUUGUAAAUGAGUCUUCGAACCUGCAAAGUUUACAGAUGCGGGAGGAAGAUAAACGCCGUGGUGAUGAUGCAGAUGAGUUGGCUCUUGUGACCCGAUGUUCCCAUGAAGAGAGGAAUGCAUGUUGUUAGAACAGGAGGUGCAGCAGCAGCCGCAGCAGCAGCAGAAUUAUAGGCCUCGUCUUCUGCAGGCAUCACUUACCAGCUUAUUACCAUGGAGACAAAACCCUGUCUGUCCUCUGCAUUUUCAAGUGGUUUAUUAACCUUUGACUGUGCACAGAGAUUGGCACAUCUUCUCCACCAACUAAAAGCCACUUAAAGGAAGGAAGGAAGAUAGAAAGAAAGAAAGCCAUCAGACUUUUCUCUCUGAUUGAGACCAAGCUUCUUUACAGCAGGAAGUGGUAAACUCUGGUUUCUAGUGGUAAGAUGUGGUCUGAGGGGUGAAUCCCAAGUGAGUUCACAGCUCUGUGCCUCAGUCGCAUCUUCUGUGAGACGAGUUGUUUGUACAGCAGUUUUAAAAAUAGCUCUAAAAACCAGGAGAUAACUGAAUGUGUGGGCCGUUGUGGGCAGAAAGGGAGAGCUGCAUGAAUACAGCUGUUCUUAACAAUAAUCAAGAACUGUUUGGUAACAUUAACCUAAAUGGAGAGAGGCUCAAAGCGUUUCCACUCAAACCAAGAACAAGACAAGGUUGUCUACUGUCUCCACACCCACUCAGUGUAGUACUAAAAGUCUUAGAGCUAUAAGACAACUGAAGGAGGUCAAGGGGAUGCAGAUAGGAAGGGGCCAAAGUCUCUUUAUCUGAAGAUUAUAUUAUUAUAAAUAUAUAAGUAAUUCCAAAAAUUCUACCAGGGAACUCCUACAGCUGAUAAACACUUCCAUCAAAGGAGCAGUAUACAAAAUUAAUACAGAAAGUCAGUAGCCUUCCCAUAUACAAAUGGCAGAGUGAGAAAGAAAUAACUCGGGGGAAACUCUAACCAAUCAUGGGGAAAAUCUGUAUGAUAAAUAUUUUAAGACACAUAAGAAAGACAUUGAAGUAGACAUCAGAAGAUGGAAAGAUCUUCUAUGCUCAUGGAUUGGGUAGUAUUAAUAUAGCAAAAGUGGCCAUCCUACCAAAAGCAGUUUACAGAUUUAAUGCAACCACUAUCAAAAUUUCCACACAACUAUUCAUAGAAUUUGAAAGGACAAUUUUCACUUUCAUAUGGAAACACAAAACAUCAGAAAUACCAAGGCCAAUCCAGAAUAAAAAAAAUGGCUAGCAACAUCACCAGCCCCAAUCAUAAUUCAUCCUGCAAUGUUUUCAAAAUGAAAUCUUAGAAUUUGCAGGUUAAUGGAUGGAACUAGAAGAAUAUCAUCCUGCGAUAACCCAGACCCAGAAUGACAAAUGUGCUUAUAUGUGAUGUCAGCUGUUAAGUUUUUGAUAAGCAAGCUGUAAUCCAUAUAACAACAGAAGUUAGGUAUAGAGUAAGGGACUCUGGGGGAGGAUAGAUCUCUCUAGCAAGGAGAAAUUGAGUAGAUAGUUAUGGUUUGAUGAAGGGAGUCUAUAAUAGGAGGAUCAGAUAGCUAGGAGAAGGAGGAGAGGGCAAAGAGGGACCACAGGAAGGGACAGCUAAAAUUAUGGGACAAUUGAGAGGCAGUAUGAAACUCUAAUAUAGUAUUAACUUCCUACAACACGUACAUAUAUGAAGGCGAUCUAAAUGAAACCACUAAAUAUCAGGAUGGCAGAGCCUCAAAUGAUUUUCUGUCAUCAGCAAAUGAAGCUUCCAGUGCCAAGAUUGGGUUACAUCUAAUUGAUUUGUUGGCCAAAGGGGCCCUAUGAGAACUCUCAAUCUCAAGGCUAUUGGUUGUUCUCUACAAACUGAUGGUGAGGUCCUAUUGUUGAAUGCAACACUUAUACAACUCAUUGAGAAUGGAGGAGUUAAGUUGGUACGGACCUAGAGCCUUCACAGUACUGGAAGGUACUCAGCAUGCUGUUAAAGGAGAAAGGUAAACAUCUACCCAGGUACAAACCCUUGGAUCUAUAAUGGUCUGCCUACAAGAUGCCCUAGUACAAUAGGGGCAGAAAAUUUGUGGUAGUAACUAAGCAAUAUCGGAUUGGAUUUAAGGCUCACUCCCUGACAUUGCUUGGAUGGUCAAGACCCUGAGACUAUAUACCCCAGGGACCUCAGUGAAACCCAAAUACUACUGUCCUGCUAAAGGGAUAUAGCCAUAUAAUGACUCCUAAUGACAUUCUGCUAUACUCAUAGAUCAGUGCCUUGCUCUGACAUCAUCAGAGCAGUUUCCUCCUAGAGCAGAUGGAACAAACACAGAAUCUCAUGGCUGAACAAUGUGCAGGGAGUGAGAGACCUGGGAGCAUUCAGUUCUAAAUGGAAUGGUGCCAUCUAAUUUCCUCAUUCCCACUUCCACCCCAACCCAGGGCUCCAGAGACCCUGUGGCAGAAAGAUUGUAAAAGCCAGAAGGGAUGGAAGAUACCAAAGAGUCACAGCAGGGCCAAAGCACAUGUGAAUUCACAGAGACUGCCGGUACAUAGAGAGCCUGUGUGGGUCUGCAUCAGAUGAGGUCCAAGUUCUGAGAGAAGUGGACAGGUCCCCAUUCAUAACCUGAAAGCUGUCUCCAACUGAUAACCACUCACAAACAAAAACUUAGUUCUCUCUAAUGGAGUCUCACGGGGGACCCAAAGCACUCUUAAGACCAGGCCUCAUGCUCAGCAGUAGAUGGCCAACAUAAUUUAAUGCAUCCUUGGAAGUUCUUUGUCUCAUAAGAUUUUGUCUCUGUUCAUUUUGGCCUAUUCUGACUUGCCAUUUUUGUUUUAUCUUAUUUUUAUUUUGUUCUUUGGGUGCCUGUUUUCUGUGGAGAGACAAAGGGGUGUGGAUGUAGGUAGGAUCUAGAUGGAGUUUGGGGAGGGGAAACCUUAAUCAGAAUAUAUCAUAUGAAAAAAUAUAUUUUC